AUACGGAGGGUGCAAGCGUUACUCGGAAUCACUGGGCGUAAAGCGCGCGCAGGCGGCUUGAUAAGUUGGAUGUGAAAGCCUACGGCUCAACCGUAGAACUGCAUCCAAAACUAUUUAGCUAGAGUGUGGGAGAGGAAGAUGGAAUUAGUUGUGUAGGGGUAAAAUCCGUAGAGAUAACUAGGAAUACCAAAAGCGAAGGCAAUCUUCUGGAACACUACUGACGCUGAGGCGCGAAGGCGUGGGGAGCAAACAGGAUUAGAAACCCCAGUAGUCC
rnacentral:rRNA from 1 species